UACGUAGGGGGGCAAGCGUUGUCCGGAUUUAUUGGGCGUAAAGCGCUCGCAGGUGGUUCGUCGCGUCGUGCGUGAAAGACCCCGGCUCAACUGGGGAGGGUCGUGCGAUACGGGCGAACUGGAGGCCAGUAGGGGGAUGCGGAAUUCCGGGUGUAGUGGUGGAAUGCGUAGAGAUCCGGAGGAACACCAGUGGCGAAGGCGGCGUUCUGGACUGCAACUGACACUGAUGAACGAAAGCCAGGGGAGCAAACGGG
rnacentral:rRNA from 1 species